CAAGCUCCUGUACACAUCCUGCAGGCGCAUCUGAGCAUAACAAGAAACUUCUUCCAACUAAAACCCCAACUGUCGUUAUCACUCUUUCAUCUUAAACCCAAAUCGAGGGACUUCGCCAUAAAAUCAUAUCCAUAACCUAACACCAUUACUGUCCCAGAGUGAAGUUUCACUAUUUCACGGGGGGUUUUGGAAGCUUAAUGUGGAACUUCUGAAUCCUUAAUUCAAGAAUCAACGGCGAAGAUUACACAAAACGAUGUUGGAUAUAUUACCUGCAAGGAGUUCAGGAUCCAGAAUGCAAUGGAGCAGGUUACAGUAUAUGUCUGCAUAUAGAUUCAUGUAAAUAUUAUGUUCAGUUAAAACAUCAAGCAACUUAUGUAUAGUAGCAACUUGGCAUAUUGGAUAGAAAGACAGGUGAACUUGCUUAACUUCUCAAUGCUAUGGAGUAAAGGUCCCGUAAAACUAGAAUACAUUGCAGCAAAUUAAAAAUUGUUCACCUCAGUGGUUGGGAGUAUGGAACAGAGCAGAUGGAAACUCAAAAAAGGCUGGUAAAAAAAAAACUAAAUUACCUUCUUCCAUAGUACAAAUGGAGAAUAACAACUUACCUUAAUGAUCUGAACAGCAAGGAAAGCUAUCCACACAAACACCAGCAGUGUUAACUCUUUCCAGUAUAUGUUAUACAUCAAGGGAACCUGAAUGGAGAUUAUGAUGUCUCAAACAAGGAGAAACUAAUUUUAAGAAAGUUGUAAAGAGAAUUUUUAUGAAGAAAUUGAGAAAUUCAUGGGCUUACAUCUUCAUCUACCAAAGCAGCCGGACCACUUGGUAGUCGUUUGUAUUCCUCUCCAGAACCCUCUGCAAUUCCAGAGUGGACUCCAAUCGUUAAUGGAUUUCUGGAACAGACUGGACUUGGGUGAUAAUUCAAUCAAUUGAGAGGCCUUUUACUUUCUUAAUGCUCUCAUACAAGAGGCCAGAGUAUAAGCCUGGCUGCUUCCUGAAAACGACACAAAUCUCAAACUCCUCAUUAACAAGUCAGCGGCAAAGGAAAAAUAAAUCCGUUGAGACCUGUAUAAAUAAGGAUGAUAAGCAGAACAGUGACCAUCCAAUCAGCAAAGAUUACAUUGAAGGCAACUCCGAUGC